UGACCUUUGUCUCAGUUGGUAUAGAGCAUUGGACUAGCAUCCCAAAAACUCCCAAAGGUCGGGGUUCGAUUCCCACUGUGGUCAG